UACGUAGGGUGCAGGCGUUAAUCGGAAUUACUGGGCGUAAAGCGUGCGCAGGCGGCUCCUUAAGUCAGAUGUGAAAGCCCCGGGCUUAACCUGGGAACUGCGUUUGAAACUGGGAGACUUGAGUGUGGCAGAGGGGGGUGGAAUUCCACGUGUAGCAGUGAAAUGCGUAGAUAUGUGGAGGAACACCGAUGGCGAAGGCAGCCCCCUGGGUUAACACUGACGCUCAUGCACGAAAGCGUGGGGAGCAAACAGG
rnacentral:rRNA from 1 species